rnacentral:rRNA from 1 species
UUGGAGGGCAAGUCUGGUGCCAGCAGCCGCGGUAAUUCCAGCUCCAAUAGCGUAUAUUAAAGUUGUUGCAGUUAAAAAGCUCGUAGUUGAAUCUCGGGAUCAAUAUUUCGGUCAUGCCGUUGGUAUGCACUGUUAUCAUUGAUUUCUCACCUUCUAAAGAACCGUAAUGCCAUUAAUUUGGUGUUACGGGGAAUUAGGACCGUUACCUUGAAAAAAUUAGAGUGUUUAAAGCAGGCUCACGCUUGAAUACAUUAGCAUGGAAUAAUGAAAUAGGACAUCCGAUUCUAUUUUGUUGGUUUCUAGGAUCGAUGUAAUGAUUAAUAGGGAUAGUUGGGGGCAUUAGUAUUCAAUUGUCAGAGGUGAAAUUCUUGGAUUUAUUGAAGACUAACUACUGCGAAAGCAUUUGCCAAGGAUGUUUUCAUUAAUCAAGAACGAAAGUUAGGGGAUCGAAGACGAUCAGAUACCGUCGUAGUCUUAACCAUAAACUAUGCCGACUAGGGAUCGGAUGAUGUUAAUUUUUUAAUGACUCAUUCGGCGCCUUACGGGAAACCAAAGUGUUUGGGUUC